rnacentral:misc_RNA from 1 species
AGUCGUAACAAGGUUUCCGUAGGUGAACCUGCGGAAGGAUCAUUAACACUUUAAAAAAAAACACUUAACACCUUUGUGAGAACUACUAAACAAAAACAAAACUUGAAGAUGAAAGGGGGGGAAAGGAGAAAGGAAACUUUAUGUUUCCUCUUCACACCCCUCUCCCUCUCUGAUUCAACAUUUAUUUUUUUAAACAAAAAACACCAUAAAACGUAAAGGUGAACAAAUUCUUGGAAUUAAAAAACCAAAUUAAAAAACAAAACAAAAAUACAACUCUUAACAAUGGAUAUCUUGGUUCUCGC